UGGGGAAUAUUGGACAAUGGGCGCAAGCCUGAUCCAGCCAUGCCGCGUGAGUGAUGAAGGCCCUAGGGUUGUAAAGCUCUUUCACCGGUGAAGAUAAUGACGGUAACCGGAGAAGAAGCCCCGGCUAACUUCGUGCCAGCAGCCGCGGUAAUACGAAGGGGGCUAGCGUUGUUCGGAUUUACUGGGCGUAAAGCGCACGUAGGCGGACUUUUAAGUCAGGGGUGAAAUCCCGGGGCUCAACCCCGGAACUGCCUUUGAUACUGGAAGUCUUGAGUAGGGUAGAGGUGGGUGGAAUUCCGAGUGUAGAGGUGAAAUUCGUAGAUAUUCGGAGGAACACCAGUGGCGAAGGCGGCUCACUGGACCAUUACUGACGCUGAGGUGCGAAAGCGUGGGGAGCAAACAGG
rnacentral:rRNA from 1 species